AACGAACGCUGGCGGCAGGCCUAACACAUGCAAGUCGAGCGAAGCCUUCGGGCUUAGCGGCGGACGGGUGAGUAACGCGUGGGAACGUGCCCUUUGGUACGGAAUAGCCCCGGGAAACUGGGAGUAAUACCGUAUGUGGUCGAGAGACGAAAGAUUUAUCGCCAAAGGAUCGGCCCGCGUUGGAUUAGGUAGUUGGUGGGGUAAUGGCCUACCAAGCCGACGAUCCAUAGCUGGUUUGAGAGGAUGAUCAGCCACACUGGGACUGAGACACGGCCCAGACUCCUACGGGAGGCAGCAGUGGGGAAUCUUAGACAAUGGGGGAAACCCUGAUCUAGCCAUGCCGCGUGAUCGAUGAAGGCCUUAGGGUUGUAAAGAUCUUUCAGUGGGGAAGAUAAUGACUGUACCCACAGAAGAAGCCCCGGCUAACCCCGUGCCAGCAGCCGCAGUAA
rnacentral:rRNA from 1 species